rnacentral:rRNA from 1 species
UACGUAGGGUGCGAGCGUUGUCCGGAAUUAUUGGGCGUAAAGGGCUCGUAGGCGGUCUGUUGCGUCAGGAGUGAAAAACUCGGGGCUUAACCCCCGAGCCUGCUUCUGAUACGGGCAGACUAGAGGUAUGCAGGGGAGAACGAAUUCCUGGUGUAGCGGUGAAAAUGCGCAGAUAUCAGGAGGAACACCGGUGGCGAAGGCGGGUCUCUGGGGCAGUAACUGACGCUGAGGAGCGAAAAGCGUGGGGGAGC